GGAUUAUGUUACUGCCUGGGCCUGACCACAGGCCCAGCUGAACUGAUUUGAAAUAGUGAAUCAGCCUUGCUCAGGCCAAUGCACUCAGGAAGUAGAAGUUCUCCUUCCUGUCUCUUUACGCUGGUGGAGCAGGCAAGCCUGCGAGUCACCCAGAACAGACAGGGGCCUGGGACCCUGAUCACUGCAUGGAGGGAAGUCCCCAGCAACCAUCAACACCCAGUCAGCAUGCAGCCGGGUGAGGGUAUUCUUCUGCCCCUCUUUCUUCUCUGGAAGCUCUGGUCUAUGUCACCCACCACCUCGGGGGCACCCGGGAGGCUCACUCAUUCGCAGCAGGCGCGGCUCCACCGGCCCAGGAAGCUCAUCAGCCCUGGAAUCGGCGUCUGGAGCCUCCUCUCCCUAGACCACGCUGCUGCCAUAAAUAAACACCACGUGGGCUCCCUUUACGAUCCGGUCAGAGGAAAGGAGCUUUGGCUGCCCAGGAAGCCAGCGAGUGGAGCCCGCCGCUCCCUCAGCGCCCCUGCCCGGGCCAUCGCUCCGCAACGCGCCUUGCAGCUCCUGGGCUCAUUUUCUGAUAGAGCUGUGGGUUUCUACUGCUGAUAGCAGAGAUCAUUCUCCCUUGUAGCUGAAUGCUAAUUGGCCAUUCUCUUGUACACGCAGUCCCUUUGUCGCCCUGUCCCCCAGGGAGAGGUACUUGAGUAAAGAGCAAUCUGGAAAGAUGGAGGAGGGUGGUUCUGGCUAAAUUGCCCAUCGCUAAGUCAGAGGUCAAGAAAAGACUCAAAUUGGGGGCAAGGGAGAGCUACUUCCAGCAUUUCUAGAGCGCUCUGCGAGCCCGUGCUGUCCCCCCUCACUGGCUGCUGCACCCACACACCACAGCCAAUCGGUGGCCCAGAAGUUGCAGGGGCUGAGCGUCACCCAGGGCCCAGGCGAGGUCCUGGAGGCCCAGAGAUGAUGAAGGCACAGUGCAGGAGCCCGUCGUGAAGGAGCUGCCCGUGUGGUGGGACAGAGCCGCGGGAGGAACAUGGAGACUCACUGGAGAAAAUAUCAGAGCUCAGCCUUAUAGGGUAAGGAGGGACAUCCCGGGGAGAAGUGACAGUGAUGCAAAAUUACGGG
rnacentral:lncRNA from 1 species